GAUGAAGAACGUAGCGAAAUGCGAUAAGUAAUGUGAAUUGCAGAAUUCAGUGAAUCAUCGAAUCUUUGAACGCACAUUGCGCCCCUUGGUAUUCCGAGGGGCAUGCCUGUUCGAGCGUCAUUAUAACCCCUCAAGCUCAGCUUGGUGUUGGGGCCUGCUGCACUGGCAGCCCUUAAAAUCAGUGGCGACGCCAUCUGGCUCUAAGCGUAGUAAUUCUUCUCGCUAUGGAGUCCUGGUGGAUGCUUGCCAUCAACCCCCAAUUUUUCUAUGGUUGACCUCGGAUCAGGUAGGGAUACCCGCUGAACUUAAGCAUAUCAAUAAGCGGAGGA
rnacentral:misc_RNA from 1 species